rnacentral:tRNA from 1 species
GGAACAUUGGUGUACUUGGUGUUGCACGUAUGUUUGAAGCACAUAAGGUAUUCGUUCGAUUCGAAUCUGUUCCAC